CCCCAAACAAGAACAACAUGUAUUUUUUUAAAAGUAUUUAUUUCAUACUUGUCGAGUUUUUUGGGCUGUUUUCCUUUAUUCAUUUUCUGUGAGGGGAAACUGAAGUGAAAAUGGAAAUUAUUUUUAUCUCCUUUCUUAAGGCACCUAGAUUGAUUGUGAAAAGCAUGAGAAGUCGCGUCAGGUAGCCAAGCACUUGUUUUAAAAGCAUGAAUAAAAGAAAAAGAAGACAGUAAACAGCAAGAUAUGACAUAGUGUGUUAUGGGUUGCUAGUUUUGAACUUCAGUCCUUCAUAGCACUAGAGCCUAAGUAUUUAUGUUGUCAAGAAAUAAAGUAAGUGUGGACUUCCCUGGCGGUCCAGUGGUUAAGACGCUGUGCUCCCAGUGUAGGGGGCACUGGUUCAGUCCCUGGACGGGGAACUAAGAUCCCACAUGCCAUAUGGUGUGGCCAAAUAAAAAAAUAACAACAAAAAUAAAGUAAGUGAAAUGCUAGGUUCAUUCUAAGUGCUAAAGGCGUGCAGCUGAUAUUGUUGACACAUACAGAGAUGCUCAGUGGUGCUCUCAGGACAUUCUUUUAGUCGUGUUUCCUAUAGUUAUGGGUUUGUUUUGAUCUAUCCUAUUUUUUUGUGAUAAUUUGUAUGGCAAAGAAAACAGGUUAAUAGCCUUUAUUAUUUCCUACGUGCUAAGCAUUGGGUGAUGAGUGUGAGGGGAGAUACUGCCACCAUCCCAGUUUUACCGAAUGUGUUUGAUGACAGAAGGUUCUAGUCAGUUCCCAGCAGAGACCAUAGUCUCAUCAGAACCAAAUGGUAGCUGGCUUUAAGUAAUGUUGCAGCAAUAUUUAAAGGCUUAAAAAGCUUCUUUACAUUGUUGAUUAGCUGUGAUAGCCACACAAGGAAAAUAUUCAUUAAAAGAGGGUGUUUUCACAGAGUAAAAAAGUAACUCAGAUUUUCCUAAGUUUGUAGCAUUACUUUCAUAUUCUUGAGGUUAAAGAUUUUUAAGUAAAUAUUUGCAAUUUACAAUCUAUUGUUUAGUCCUCAGGGAUAGAAUAGUGUAAUAUAAGAAAAUUGAAAGUAAUAUUCCCUUUUUAAAUGUAUAUAAUCAACAUGUUUCAUGUAUUUCCUGAAUAUUUGCUAUUUUCAGUUGUACACAAUACAUCUUGUGAUUUCAGUAGGAAGUGGACCUUUUAGGCAGACAGAUUCUGAAGGAUUUCCAUAUUGGGGGUAUGUUAUGUCCACGUCAAUAAUUGGAAGAAAAUAAAUCCAAUACCUCUGAUUGAAGAGGCAAAUAAAUAUAUAUGUAAAAUCAAUUUUCAGUUUACCACCUUAAUGGAAGGGGACAUUAACAUGGCUAAUGAACAGUUUUCAGCAGCCAACUCAGCCAGCUUUUUUUGUGUAACAAGGAAAUAAAGGCUUACUUCUCCUUAAAAAAAAAAAAAAAGUUUUCUUUUCACAGUAACUUCUUGUUUAGUUUUGCUUUGGGUUCUUUGCUUUCUGGAACGCACAGCAGACAGCAGUGGAUUUGGAAGUGGCUCAACAUAUAUUUGUAAAAUAGAGGAAUAUCCCUAUAAUCUAAAAUAAGUUGUAAAUAUUGUGAAAAGUUUAAAUUAAUACACAAUUAAAUUAUGGAUUUUAUUACAUUUCCAUUGUAGAUUCAAAUUCAUUUGCCUAUUCUUAAAACUCUAAAUGUCCAGGGUAAAACAGGUUGCUUAACACUUGAAUCUAUCUUAACAAGCCCUCCUGUCUCCCAUCCCCCACUAUUCCUAUCUUUUUAAAGGUGAAAUUAGUAUAGAAUGAAGAUCAAAGAUAUUUGAAGGGGAGAAUAAGUCACAGAAUAAUUUAAAUGUAACCAUUUGAAUUUGGAAUAGGAAGGAAGGCUAGAAGUCAUUUAACCUUUUCAAUUUACAGACAAGGAAACUGAGUUUCUGAGAGCUGAUAGGACUGCACAAAACUACAGAAUUAUUAAAGGGCAGAACCAAUACUGACAGGUAGAUAGCACUUCUUCAACCGGGACUUUUAAUGAUUUUUUUCAGCUUUAUUGAGAUAUAAUUGACAGAUGAUAUUAUAAAAUGUUUAAAAUGUACAACAUCAUGAUUGAUGAACAUAUACCUUGUGAAAGGAUCCCCUUCACUUGAAUAAUUUUCAGAAAUUAAUAGUAAACCGCAGUCUUUUUUGUCUUUGCUUUUUGUUUUUUAACACACUACUUGGAAAGUGUGUGUCUUAGGAAAAGGUAGUGGAAAGCAAAGCCCACUCAUACCGUGGGUACUGUUUUUUCCACUCUGCUCGAUUAGGGGCAGCCUGAUGGGUACAGAUAGGAAAGGAAGAGAGAGGCCUAAUCGUCACUUCAAUGACAAUGAAGGUUUUAUGUGAUAAUUUUUAAACCUGGAACCACCUGCUUUUCUAGAAAUAGUUGCUCCCUGAGAAAUUCCAUGUCUUUCUCAGCUACUUGUGCCCCUGUCCAACCCAGAAAACACCACCCCCUAAUUCCUGCAUUCUAGGGAGGUCUCUGGCAGAUCCCCUCCUGUUGAGAAUAUUGUUGCCUGUAUGAUUUUUUACCGGUAGAAAGGCAGGUUUAGUGUUGUCAGUUAACUUACUGUGUUAGUGCGCUGAGCUUGCUGAGACUACAGAUUUAGGUUGGACUUCUUUCCCCCCACCCCGUAAAUAAUUUUGCUUCCCAAUUUAGAAAAGUCGAAUUCUUAGAACCAGGUACUACUAUCAUUUGCAUGGGACCAAAUGAAUGCUCUUGGUUCCAAGUACAGUUAAUGAGACAGGGUAAAUGGGGCAGGAAAAUGAGCAUCAUCACCAAAAAAAAAAAAAAAAAAAAAAAAAAUCCCCAUGUGUAACACCGCUAGUCAAAAGUGUCAUGUUUGUAGAGUGCAGACCUUACCACUCUUUUAUCCAAAAGUGUAUCUUUCUUAGAAGCUGACUGACUAGAUUGGUAUAUACUUGACUCAUCCUUUUUAUUUAAACUACAGCAAAUGUACCCUCUGACCCAUGUGAAAAGUAUUGGUUUUAGGCACAAUACCUGGUAGAAGUAAACAGUUUAAUCCGACCUGGAAAAGAAGUAACCUAAAUAUACCUAAAAUUAACCUAAAAAUUGUGAUAGUGGUAAAUAGUAAAAUCAUAUUUCCAGCUUCUAGUAUUAUAUUGACACUGGCAUAUACACAGUUAUUAUUCAGUUAGAAAUUUUAUUUUGACAGCACUCUACCUCAUAUGUGUUUUUCAAAAGGGUGUUAAACUACUGCCUUACUUUUGACAGACUCCUUAGAGAAUGUCUAUGUAGCAAAGUGUGGUAAAUCGUUGUCACAGUACACUGAAGCCUCAGAGUUUGUCUUAGUUAUCUGAGUAUUUCACUGCAUUUUGAAAGAAUCCUGAAUUAUUCUAAUAAUUUAAUCCUCCACAUCACAAUGUACAGUGCUUCAUUAUGCAUUAAUUUUUUUAUAACUUCUUUACGUUUGAAAGAUAAUGAUGUUUGUUUUGUCACAAGAUGCUUUCAUGAGAGGUUUCAAAUUGUGUGGCCAGGUGUAGUUGUCAGACAGAGACCUAAAUGUUGUUUCGCUUUUGUUCCAGAAUUCAUUUGCACCGGCUGUUUUAAUUCAGAUUAAAUGCGAGGAGGAAUAGUACUGCCUUCUCCUGUCAAUAUGUGGAAGCAUAUAGUGUUUACUCAGCAUUUAAACGGUGCUGUUUUGGGUUCUGAGGUAGCUGAGGAAGGGUAACCAUGCUACCAGGAAUUAUGUUGAUUUUUACUUAUUUUAUUAUCUGUUUAGGCCCUACCUAUAGGGCUUAGUAUAUAACCGGAAGAUAAGGGUGGGUAGACGGGAGGAAAAGAAGUCUUUAGUACAUCAUCCUUUCAUAUUUUUCUGAAACACGAUGGUUCACUUGCCACAGUGUGUAUUACACCUGCAGUUUCUUUGGAUCUUAUUUGAAAACCAGUGAGGGGAGUAACACAAGUGGGUGCAAAGAAAGAGGUACCCCCACGAGCUCUGUAUCACCCAGACUGGCGGUGCUCACGGCAGCUACAGGAUUCACUGGUUCGUGGAGAUAAGACACGGAAGAUGUGUCAGAAAUGUUUGGCUAAUAGAAAAGUUUAAGUGCCAGCACCUGAGAAUGAAUUCUUUUUCUCUUUUAAAUAAAUGAGAGUUAGAUUCAUUACAGAAACGUAGGGACCUACUCAUUCGCAUUCUUACAUGUUUUCUAGGGAAGGAAGAAAGGAUGGAGUUUGAACUGAUUUGCCGGGAAUCAUGUUCAGAAUGGAUCCAGGAUAUUGAGGUGUAAAAGAGCAGGAAACAGCCUUGAGUCUUGGGAGACUUCUGGGCUUUGCGCUUGGCACUGACUCCUCCACAGAAGCAAGGGGUGCAUCUGGCUGUUAGAAGAAUUAAUGGGCAUCCAGUGCCUUGAUUUUCCCACUGAGAAAAAUGAGGAGGCUGCGAUAUACCUGUGGACAGGAUCAGUAGCUUCACUUCUCACCUCAGAACUUGCCAUGUCUCUUUCCGGCUCGGGAAGUAUGAUGCUCCGCACAGACAGGCAUCUACGUGCGAGAAAGUUAAUGGCGCAGAAUGCUGCUGACUGCAUGGUUCUCGUCUUAAUACAUUUCCCAACCUUGAACCUGAGAAUGCCAGAGGCUCAAGUCUCUGAACGCUCGUCUGAGCCGUUAUCUGCUGGUGGCCUGGUUCCUGACCUAACAAGUGGGUGUCCCAGGCGUGCGUGUGGUAAUAGCAGCAGUGGUGCCACGUGGCGCCCAGAGGUCGCCUUGGUCUGCCCUGGAGAUUCCUGGUCCUUGGUGAAGCUUCUGAGUUGAACUGUGAACUUGGGGCAUCCUGAGAAGCGCAGGCAUUUUGGAGUUCCACAGCAAACCUGGAUGUUAAGUGUAAACACAGCUUAUAAAGUGAAAGCAGGGGCCUUGAGGAAGGGAACCCUCAUCUCGAUCCGGACCUGCUUACUGUGCUGGAAAACAAAAGAUACACAUCCAUAUACUUGCCUGAACGUGUGAGUCCUUGGCAUUACGGAUUCGUUGCCGGUAGCUGGUGAUCUCCUACGCAGAAGGUCGCUAACUACAAGAAAUGUUACGUGCGGUGAGUAGGUGGUAGAUUCUGAAGAUUAUUGCUAACCCCAUGCUCGUCCUCUUGAGUCAUGGAUUCAGAGGACUGCUAGCAAGCUCUUAAAUACUUCUGCUUUGUAUGAUUUAAUGGAUGGAGCUGCUGGACUCAUGGAAGCCUGUGAAAGGUUUUUCAGAGCAUGGGUUAAUUGCAUAAUCAUUGAAUCUUUUGAAUAUAUUAGUCCUUUGGAGGGAGAAAAGAUGUUUUACAGAAGGAAGCAGUUUGUGGGGGGCUUUUAGAGAUGCAGUUACUUCUCUUCUGUGUUUUAAGUAUCACUCCAUCUUCUUGUGUGAAAGAAAGAAAUGACGACACGGUUUCAACAGAGAAAAAGUUACGCCAACUCUUUUUAAGUGAAGAAAUUUCAUCCACGUGUUACUCCUAACUGGAUUUUUGUCCUCCUGACUAUUCACAAGGGGAAACUACCCCAUGAAAAAGACUGACCUUCUGGCAGUAUCUGCGAUGUGUCUCACCCAGAACCCGGUGGGCUUUCCAUGGAUUAUUGGCAGCACUUUUAUCGAGGGGGCAAAGAGAGGGAAUCCAGUUACUGGAAACAGUGAGUGCAGCUUCAGAAAUUGUUCUCUCUCCUGAGCGGAGAAGUUGUUUGACCUACUGACUCAUUUCAUAGGAAUUGGGGAAAACAACCUAGUGUGGUUUUCAUUGUUAGUCCUGGAGGAUUCCAAAGUCUGUGUGUCUGCAAAUAAGAUGAGCUGGAGAAAGGUAGUGCUGCCCCUUGCUGUUUCUACUUGCUUGUUCUCCUGAUGGAAUUCAAUCCCUUGCUUCCAGGACAAGUCUAGUCUGUGCUUGGAGAUCCUUUGUGUGGCUGUUCAGUGGUGCUGACCUUCUGAACAAAUGCCCCCUGAGGAUUUCUGUGCCUGGAAAAUAUCUGCCUACAGAUUUCUUUGACACCCUAUGUGCCGCUUCUGCUGUUCGGGACCAAAGCUGGUUUCAGUGGUUUGCUCAUGUGCUUAUUGACGAAACCCUGCACCUCAGAGCCCGUUUAUGUUCAGAGGUCCACAUGGCCAUGUGAAGAUUGGCCGUUACAGUAUCUGUAAAGCACCAAGCAGCAAAGAAUGGUGAGUAAGAGCCUGGGCCUGGAAUCAAGCGGAGUGGAGUCUGAAUCCUGGUCUUGCCAUUCCUAAACUUUGUGACCAAGAGCAAGUGCUGUACCCUCGCUAUGUCUCUGUUCCUUCAACUGAAAAAUGGAAGUAACGCCACUAGCCUUGUAGGUGGUUGUGAAUGAUGAGAAAAUGCAUAGAAAGCACGUAGCACAGUGUUUGGCACAGAGUAAGUCUUCCAAAAAUGGAAGCUGUUAUUAUUUAUCAGAGUACCUUCCCGUCCGCUCCACAGUUCAUGUCGGCCUUCACUCUGAAACGGCACUGCAGCGUCCUGAUCCAUCUAAUAAAGCAAUGUUUGUGUGUAGUGCUUUUUUAAAAAUGACAGUUGUUGCCAUACACGGAAUUCCACAUGCCUCUAAGAACCAGUGCAGGAUAGGAGUUUGUGUCUCCGUCCUCUAGAUCGGCAUGCUGAGGCUCGGCAAAAUCAAAUGAUUGCCCAAGAUCCCGCAGCCAGUCAACAGCACAGCCAGCACUUCAGCUUGGAGCCACGUAAGUCAACAGAGAACUACUCCCCACCGUACGGUCCAGCACCUUCCAACCGAUAACAGUUGCAUCUUUAUUCUGGCCUGAAUAUUUGGGUUAGGACUCUUGUAUCCUGAAGUCUGUAACGUUCUGAAGCUACCUUCUUUAAAGACGCGUCAUAGUCAGGUACUGUCUCCUUGUGAAAUAUCCUCACGCCCCAGGGGACGUUAUCUUAAUCCAGUUUGCUCGUGCAAGAACAGACUGGCAUUUCACUUCAAGGAAAGACAACGUGUUUCCACUGUUCCGCUUUUGCCACACAGGAGUUAACCGGUGUGGCUUAUUGAUUCACAUCUCAGGCUCUAACUUUCCUAUCAGAUCUGGAAGAAAAAAAAAAACAAAGAAUGGCAGCUUGCUCCAGAACAGCAUGAAGUAAGGAAUCGCAGGUGGGAUUUUGAAAUAGAAACACAUUCUUGUAGCCCCUGUGCUGAGAGACACCAAGGAGGGAUUUUGUUCUGGAAAGGUGAGCACUUUAAUGUGGAGGUGGAGAGUUUAACAAUGUUAAGUGUGUGUUCUAUGUGUAAGAAAGAGUUGUUAAAAAAUAACAUUCCUUUCAAACGAUGCAGUACCUUAAAACUGUCAAUGGUUAAAAUAGAGACACCCUGAGUUACAGAAGUUCAGCCCUGCCGUCUCCUGCCCUGAAAAUACAGAACAAUCAGGUUGAUUGUUGGAGGUUGGAGGAUGGGGAGGAGUGGAAACACGCUGAUGUUUACUGAGUAAGAUCUUUCCUUGCAGUUGACUGUCACUGAAAGACUCAACAAAGUAAGCAGAGGGCUUCCCUGGUGGCGCAGUGGUUGAGAGUACGCCUGCCGAUGCGGGGGACGCGGGUUCGUGCCCCCGUCUGGGAAGAUCCCACGUGCCGCGGAGCAGCUGGGCCCGUGAGCCAUGGCCGCUGAGCCUGCGCGUCCGGAGCCUGUGCUCCGCAACGGGAGAGGCCACAACAGUGGGAGGCCCGCGUACCGCAAAAAAAAAAAAAAAAAAAAAAAGUAAGCAGAUACCACGUGCUGUCAUCCUGUUUACCUAUGUACGUCCUGGAAAGAGAAUGAACGAGCCCCUGUUAAUUUAUCAACUUUUUUUCCUUUUCACUUCCCUACUAGUGAACAAUGCGAUUUUUUUUCUCUGUGUUAAUUUGAUAGCCAGUCUGCCCACGCAGACCGCUUUGCAGGAAACCGACCUCUUGCUGGACAAUUAAACACAAACAGAGGCCCAACUCAAGAUCUCUACUUCACUGUAUUUUGUUUAAGUCAUUUCACAGUCACCAACUAAAUACCUCAGUUUCCCCCCAAGGGCUUACAGACUUCAGAGAAGUAUACUACGUGACUGAUCCCUGUGCUAGUAAUUACUCUUUGUCUGCAGAAAAUGCCUCCUCGUGUGAAGAGACAUACAUGGGAAAGAAUAUAUCCACCUUCGUUCUUCUGAAUUUUUUGAAAAACAUGCUUAAAGGAUAAUACAGAAAACUUACCAUAUCUCUUUGUUUCUGCUCAGGUAACAGAACGGUAUGGUUGUAUAUAUAUGUGUGUGUGUGUGUGCGCGCACGCAUAUAUGUGCAUGCGUGGGUGUGACAUAUAUUUGAUGUAUAAGAUAUGUAUGAUCUUAUCAGUCAUAAAUAAAAGGAAGAAAUUCACUCUUCAGGGAAACAAACAAACAAAAAAAACAAAAAAACUUCUAAGUGGCAGUAAGCAAAAGCUGUAACUAGUCAUUUGUAAAAAGUAAGCAGACCUUUUAGUUCUGGAUUUUGAAUUUUUUAACUAAUGAGAACAAUCUGGCUGCAUCUUGCAUACUUCAGUCAUUGUUAUUAUCAAUUACAAUAGCAUAUCCAGAAGGAUACAGGGGACCCCUAAAUUAAUCACAAAAUUCGUGAAAUAGUUAUUUGAGAGUGCCAGUGAUUCUUGGCACUUUUUCAAUUUUAAAUGCUUGAAUUUACUAUUCAGUUGAAAUAUUUAACUGCCUGUCACUUGACAAAAUAUGUGCAUUUCUUUGCAGUUAGUGAGCUACUUUGAUGAAGUUAGUGAUUGCUACCCAGCAAUGAUUGCUGCUGCAGCCCAUAGUGUUCUAUUUCCUUAUUUAAAGAGAUGAAAAAACUAGCCUAGUAGUGGUAGGCACGUGCAGUGAUGCUUUUCCAUUGUGAAGGGUGAGUCUGCGUUGGGAUCUCGUAUUGAGGGGUAAGUGGCCAAGCCUGUCAGGGGUAAAAAUGGGAAUCAGACCUGAGCUGAAGCCUCUGUUCCUCCUGGCUUAUACUAACAUCCUGCUGAACCCACCUGAAAUCCUCAACCACAGGCACAUUGUAAUUGGCUGUUCUUCCCACAGUCAUUUGAUGUAUGAGGAAAGUUAAAAAGAAAAGCUAAGUUUGUGUUAAUUUAUUUAAGCAAAGGAAGCAGAAUAAGUGAACGGUACAGCCAAGAGUAGAACCAUUCUCACAAGGUGACGCUAUCAUGAUAAAACCAAAAAAGGGUGGGGAAAUGCUUUAGGUAAAAGAAACCAAAGAGUCUUAAUGAGUGAACCUCAGCGGGAUUUGGGGUUGAAAACAAGCCACAAAAGAAACUUUUUUGGAGAAAGUGGGAAAAAUUGGAUAUAGGCUACAUGUUAGAUGAUGCUAAGAAAUCGUUAAUUUUCUUAGGUAUGAAUAAGAUAUUGUAACGAUAUAGAAGAAUGGCCUUAUAUUUUUAGACCUGCUCGAGAAGUUAGGAAAACAAUGUCAGGAUGGUUGUUGAUUUACUUUCAAAUGAUUCAGCAAAAAGUAGACAUAUGUUGUACAUGUAGAUAACAUCACUAAAGCAAAAGUGGCAAAAAUGAACAGUUAUUGAAUUUAGGUGGAAGAAAUUUAGGAAUACAUUUAUUGUCAUUCAAAGUUAAUGUAUGUGUGAAAUUUUUCAUAACCAUUAAAAAAAAAAGAAUGCACAUCUCUUUAGUUAGGUGUCCCAGAUACAGUAAGUAUCUUCUUGAAUCCCUAGAACCCUGAAGGGAACAGCAGUAGGCUUCCUAAUAAAAUGAUAUCAAGAACCAUGAUGGGAAGGAGAACAGAACUGCAGCAAAAAAUAAUUUAAGGAGAAGGGAGAGCAGUGAGUGGAAGGGAGCAGAAUCUUCAGUAAAGCCAACAAAACUCCUUUACUCAUAGGUGCAAUCUAAGGAAUUCCAUUCUGGAAAAAACAUUAGGAUCUCAUUAGCAUCAAUAUAUUACUUUGCCUCUGAGCUAUUCCAUUGUCCUCCUUAGACCCCCAAAUCAUAGUCAUCCUUUGAAUCAAACAAAAUUAUCUUCAAACGAAAGCACCAGGUUUAGGGAAGCGUUUUCUUGAACGCGUACUAGAGCGCCUGCUUACUUGGUACCAUUUACAUGUAUGUUGUAGCACUUUGACUUAUCCUGCACCUGGGCACUCUGAUCUGGGCAGCUCAAGAAUAAAGAGCCACAGGCACACGCACACACACACACACACACACACACACGCACACGCACGCACACACACACACGCCCCGCCCCGCAUCAGAUUUGGUGAGAGCAGCACGUGCACAGAGAUUUGCUAAAGCUCGAUUUAGACCACAAAGUAAAUACCUCACAGCGGAGCUCCAACCUUUUCCUUUCUAGGUUGUCUUAUUUAUUCACUCUGAAGGAAGAACAGAUCCUAAAGCUUCUUCAGGAAGCUGGUUUCACAUGGUGGUUUAGAUUUAAAUAGUGAUUGUCUAGCACCAUUUGAAAUCAGUGUUCUUGGGGGAGACCAGCUGCGCUGCCAGGGGCAAAAGGAACGAAUGGGACCAGCCCUGAAGACUUUGAAAGCAAAGACCAGCCGGUGAGGGGAGCCCACCUGGCGCUGCCGCUGCAGCUGAUCCAUCCUCCCUGCCGUCACCCCACCCCCACCCCGCCCAGCUCCCUGCCGCCAGCG